GCUCUGGGAAAAUGUCUAGAAGGAAGAUGAAAAUCUGAACUCGGCUCUCCCUCCCUCCUGCAGGUGGAACUCAAGUGUUCAAAAAAAUCAUGAGUGGCUGAAAACAAAUAAAACACCCACAGACUGUGCCCUUUGGCUCUGAGCCAGUGGGGUGUACACUCAGCAGUUUUUUCAAAGACUUGAGACGUGCUUCUUCACAAGAAAAUCCCUGAAAGUGAAAAUUCCCACAUAACUGUCAGGGUCCAAGGAUGAUGGGUUGGAGGAAAAAAACCUGGUGUUGCAAAUCUUGCUGUGAAAUGGGGGCAGCUGAGAACAUCCAAUUGCAGGAACACAGCAGGAUGGAACCUUGGCCACUUUUGAUGGAGUGGAAAUGAGCUCCAUAGGAUGGCAAGGCAUAUAGCUUUUCACAUGGUUCAGUGCAGGAAUUUGAAGAAGGGCAUCCUCCCUAACAUGUA